rnacentral:rRNA from 1 species
UACGUAGGGUGCGAGCGUUGCCCGGAUUUAUUGGGCGUAAAGGGCGCGUAGGCGGCUCUGCACGUUCGUUGUGAAAUCGCCCGGCUCAACUGGGCGGGGUCAGCGGAUACGGCGGAGCUUGAGCAAGCUAGGGGGCAAUGGAAUUCCCGGUGUAGUGGUGGAAUGCGUAGAUAUCGGGAGGAACACCAGUGGCGAAGGCGGUCGCCUGGGGCUUUGCUGACGCUGAUGCGCGAAAGCGUGGGAGCGAGUCCGG